UUUGUUUACCGAGGGUUCGAAUCCCUCUCUUUC
rnacentral:tRNA from 2 species